rnacentral:tRNA from 1 species
GAAGGUGUAGCUCAGUGGUAGAGUGCAAGCAGCAUGCACAAGGUCCUGGAUUCAAUCCUCAGCACCUCCA